rnacentral:rRNA from 1 species
GAUGAACGCUGGCGGCGUGCCUAAUACAUGCAAGUCGAGCGAACAGACGAGGAGCUUGCUCCUUUGACGUUAGCGGCGGACGGGGGAGUAACACGUAGGUAACCUACCUAUAAGACUGGGAUAACUUCGGGAAACCGGAGCUAAUACCGGAUAAUAUUUCGAACCGCAUGGUUCGAUAGUGAAAGAUGGCUUUGCUAUCACUUAUAGAUGGACCUGCGCCGUAUUAGCUAGUUGGUAAGGUAACGGCUUACCAAGGCAACGAUACGUAGCCGACCUGAGAGGGUGAUCGGCCACACUGGAACUGAGACACGGUCCAGACUCCUACGGGAGGCAGCAGUAGGGAAUCUUCCGCAAUGGGCGAAAGCCUGACGGAGCAACGCCGCGUGAGUGAUGAAGGUCUUCGGAUCGUAAAACUCUGUUAUUAGGGAAGAACAAACGUGUAAGUAACUGUGCACGUCUUGACGGUACCUAAUCAGAAAGCCACGGCUAACUACGUG